CUGCUAGCUUUCAAUGCGUACCACUCGCCACAGGGCCAUUGGAAACUCAGAAGCAGAAGGCCACUGCCUGCUGUGACCGUCCUGCAGCAGAAGGGUCCAUGGAGCGCGGUGAUGUCCCGCACAAGUCUCAAACCAGAGCAACACAGAAGAGAAACAAACAAAUGGGAGACGGAGAGACACAGAGAGAGAAAAAGAGAGAGAGAGAAAGAGACAGAGAGAGGGAGUUGUUUGGAAAAAACUCUGCUUUGAGCCACGUCUGCAGAGCCAGGACUCCACCAGGCACGUAUUUAUUUUAAACACUGUUAUUUGGUUUACGUUUUCUUGUGGUUCCGACAAUGAUAUUGCACGCUUCUUCAAAGCCGGGAGAGCGCUGUGGAAGCACUUUAGGCAAGAGAAUUCCAACCCUUGGCCCUUAAUGGCCUCCUCCGGGCAACCCCACUAUGAUUCACAAAGGUGUCUUUAGCGGGCUUUCAAUUCCAGUUGUCCUACAGGUUCCAGGUUGAGUUGCCCAAAUUAAUGGGUGGGGCCGACCCUUCAGACAACCAUCCAUCAGCCGUCAGGGAGGAGCCUCCGGGUUCUAAGCCCCGCCCCCUCUCGCCUCUCACCUGCAGGUCUCAAACCCGAUGCUCAGGGCUGCCUCCAUCUCGGUCAUGGUGGGCAGGGUGCUGUUGAAAGCCUUGCAGAGGUCAGCAGCCUCCGUCUUCGAGAUGCUGUAGCGACCGUUUUUCUCCACGUGGAACACACCCGCG